rnacentral:pre_miRNA from 1 species
GUGUUCACUGUGUAAGCCUUGGUGUGUGUGCACGAUUAAGGCACGCGGUGAAUGCCA